AAGUCUUUACGGAGAAAGCUUUAUGCGCCAAUGGAUGAGCCCGCACUUGAUUAGUUUGUUGGUGGGGUAACGGCCUACCAAGACUUUGAUCAAUAGCUGAUCUGAGAGGAUGAUCAGCCACAUUGGGACUGAGACACGGCCCAAACUCUUACGGGAGGCAGCAGUAGGGAAUAUUGCACAAUGGAGGAAACUCUGAUGCAGCGAUGCCGCGUGAGUGAAGAAGGCCUUUGGGUUGUAAAGCUCUUUCGUCGGGGAAGAAAAUGACGGUACCCGAAUAAGAAGGUCCGGC
rnacentral:rRNA from 1 species